rnacentral:sRNA from 1 species
GUUUUUCCCCUAGACUUUCAAGAUAGAGAAUGGGGUAGGAGAACCACUAGAAUUAUCAAAGUUUAAUGUUAAUUUUUUAUUUUCUUAGAGGAAUUAUAAUUAUUUGCUGCCCACACAAAGCAAUUUUCCUCUAUUUUCUUUUACAUAGAUCCAUUUGAACCACAGCGACGUCUCCCCACGAAGAAAAGUCGACAACAACUUCAGCGAGAAAAAGCCCUUGUAGAGCAAAGCCAAAAACUUGGGCUUCAAGAUGGAUCAACCUCAUUACUUCCAGAGCAGCUGCUUUCAGCACCAAAACAGAGAGUUAACGUUCAAAAACCACCUUUUUCUUCCCCUACUCUUCCGAGUCAUUUCACUCUCACCUCCCCUGUUGGUGAUGGACAACCACAGGGCAUUGAAAGUCAGCCAAAGGAACUGGGACUUGAGAAUUCCCAUGAUGGUCACAACAAUGUUGAGAUUCUACCUCCAAAGCCAGAUUGCAAAUUGGAGAAAAAGAAAGUGGAAUUGUUAGCAAGAAAAAUCUCGUUGGGAAGUCCUCCAACAAGAACAACGGCUAAUGGAAGAGAAAAAUAAACGUAAAAAAGCUCUUUUGGCUAAAGCUAUUGCAGAAAGAUCCAAAAGAACUCAGGCAGAGACCAUGAAACUAAAGCGGAUCCAGAAGGAGUUGCAGGCUUUAGAUGACAUGGUAUCAGCUGACAUUGGAAUUCUCAGGAACCGGAUUGAUCAGGCCAGCUUAGACUAUUCAUACGCUCGGAAGCGGUUUGACAGGGCUGAAGCAGAGUACAUUGCAGCAAAGCUAGAUAUACAGCGCAAGACUGAGAUAAAAGAGCAACUCACUGAACACCUUUGUACGAUCAUACAGCAAAAUGAGCUCCGAAAGGCCAAGAAGUUGGAGGAGUUGAUGCAACAACUAGAUGUAGAAGCCGAUGAAGAGAUUUUGGAGCUUGAGGUGGAGGUCGAGAGAUUGCUACACGAACAAGAAGUAGAAUCAAGGAGACCAGUGGUUCGUUUAGAGAGGCCAUUUCAGCCUGCGGAGGAGAGUGUGACAUUAGAAUUUGCUAAAGAGAACAAAAAGUGUCAAGAACAAGCUGUUUCCCCAAAGGUAGAUGAACAGUGUGGAAAUUCCAGUAGCAUCCCCUUUCUUAGUCCAAACUGCCCAAAUCAAGAAGGUAAUGACAUUUCAGCUGCUUUGGCCACAUGAAGUUCUGGUAUUCUUUUGAGCUAAUAUGGUAUUGAGUAAAGUAUACUUUUUGCAGUAGAUCAUGCCCUGACCUCCAAUAAAAACCUCUUUAAAACAAUGCUGAUUUUUGAAUUCAUGAUUAGUUUUAGUAAAUUAAUAUGUUUGGCCAUUCUAAAAUCCAAAAUUAUGAUAACUCUAUUUCUAGGGGUAUGUUUCACCUUGAUUUUGGCCCAGUUCUUUCAGUCUUCCGCUUACCCUUUUUACUGAAAGUAAGUGACUUAAAAGGAUGGAAGAAAAACUACAUGGUUGGAGUGUUUUUAGAUCAGAUAAAUAUAGAAAAGUAAAAUGGAAAAUGAUACUCAAUACCUAGUUAAACUCAUUUCACUUCUCCUGGGAGACGUAUUAAGACUGGAAGUCCUAUUUUAUUUAAUCAGUAUCAGUAAAAAGACAAAAAUUACAGUGUGAACAAGAGAAAAACAGGAAUAGAAGAAAAAAGUUGCGGGUUGAAUUAUCUAUCUGGAUAUUACUAGAGUUGUAAAACACAACUUGGAAACUGGAAUUUAUGUGAAGAACCAGACAACUUAAACCAGCAUCACUUUUGUCUUCAAUUUGCCUUCCAAUGAUUUUAGUUUACAACCUGCGUUUUGUUAUUUGAAACACACACACACAUAUAUAAACACGUAAUUUUACUAUUUUAUUGUCUUUCCUUUAAUUGAUGAAUUGAUUAAAUUUAGACAAUUAAAACAUUUCUAAAGUGAGGCUGAAAAUAAUAUAGAAAAUCUCAUUGCUACUUGUGAUUCUCAAAAAAAUUAUGUAUUUUCUUUCUAAAGUUAUCUAUAAAUAUGUGUUUGAUAUGUUGGACAUGAAUUACCCUGUCAUGAAGCAUUUAAAUUGUUAAAAUGCUGAUUUUCUUAUUAGUUUGUUAAUUGCCUGUUACUAGUACUUGACCAAUACAUUGUGCUAUAUGUAAAUGUGUAAAUAAAUAUUGUAAUUUUCUCACAAA